rnacentral:rRNA from 1 species
CAGUCGUACCGGCGGAUAAUCAGCCUUUCGGGUGCGAUUCUGUGGGGCGUGAGGAGUCUGUUCUUGGGGUCGGAUAAGGGUCUUGGGAAUGUGGCCGGUUCGCCGGUGUUAAGCCCUGGACUUGAUACGGCUCUGGGGACAGAGGACCGCAGCGCGCCUUCUUGGCAUUGGCUUCGGCCUUUUUCCGCGCUAAGGAUUCUGGCUUAAUGGCUUUAAGCGACCCGUCUUGAAACACGGACCAAGGAGUCUAGCAUAUAUGCGAGUGUU